rnacentral:rRNA from 1 species
CCUACGGGACGCAGCAGUGGGGGAUAUUGCACAAUGGGGGGAACCCUGAUGCAGCGACGCCGCGUGGGUGAAGAAGCGUUUCGGCGCGUAAAGCCCUGUCAGCAGGGAAGAAGAAGGACGGUACCUGACCAAGAAGCCCCGGCUAACUACGUGCCAGCAGCCGCGGUAAUACGUAGGAUGCGAGCGUUAUCCGGAAUUACUGGGUGUAAAGGGAGCGCAGGCGGGACUGCAAGUUGGAUGUGAAAUACCGCAGCUUAACUGCGGAGCUGCAUCCAAAACUGUAGUUCUUGAGUGGAGGAGAGGCA